CAUCUGUUAGAGAUCAAGAAGUUUAGAGAAAGUUAAAUAAAGUUCACCUGGAAGGUUUUAGAGGAUUUUAGCUUCAUUCUGACGUCAUACAGGAAACUGAACAUCCUGAACUCAAUGUGAGACGUUCAGGUCUCCCUAAGGACAGAGAACUUUCCUUUUCCUUAGCCAUUGUUUAUAUGAACACAGUUAAAUUGGACUGAUGUGGAUCACGUAUUGGAUUUGGUUUGGUUAGAUUAGAAUUGGACUACAAUGAACUGGAUUGAAUUGGAC